GAUCACUCCAGAGAAAACAUCAAGCACUUUUCAUUACAUGUUUAAUGAAAAUGAUGUUAAAGUGGUUUUGUAGGAGAAAACAUUUCAUUCAUGUAAAUACAUUUUACUGCAUUCUAAAAUCUAGCAGGAAAAGAUGUGGCCUAACUACCGUCAAGAUCUGGGUACAUUUCAUUGGAAAUACAAGCACAUUGGACAUGGGAAAAUACUGGGGAACUUUACAUGGAAGAGAAUGCAUCUGAUAGUCUGGCGCACUAGCAUUUGCUGGAUUUUUAGGACAUAUGGGAGGCCGGGUGCGGUGACCUCCCCCAGCAAUCCCAGCAAUUGGGGAGGCUGAGGCCGGUGGAUUGCUCGAGCCCAGGAGUCCAAGACUAGCCCGGGCAAUAUGGUAAAACCUCAUCUCUAUGAAAAAAAAUACAAAAAAUUAGCCG
rnacentral:lncRNA from 10 species